CAACCGGGACUUUCCGGGCAGGGCUCCCCAGCGUGGGUUCAGCCAAUUAAGGAAGCAAUUAGCUUCCCAUGAGCCUAUUCAUGCUUCCUCGCCCACAGUUCCAAGGUUCUGUGAGACCAGAGCCUCCGUCUCCCGUGGGCAGAGGGUGUGUGUGGCUGCCACUAAUCUGCAGACGCUGGCUCCACCCCACAGAGUUGCAGGGCCAGGAAAUGUGCAUUUGAACCGACCCUUGCUUUCACACUUCAGAAACGGCUGGAAGCACCUCUCAAGUCUGACACAGCAGGUGGAUGCAGAAUGCUGGGAGACCUAUAAUAAUCAGCCUUUUGCAACAAGCACUUUUUCUUCCUAUUCAUUAUUGCCGCGUUUUAAGAGGAGAAGGGAGCGACUGCUCUUACAGGGCUACAGAGACAUGGAGACACGCUGGGGGAGGCUGCUCUGUCACCAGAGGCCUCCCCAUGAAGUAUGAGAAAGCUCUUCAGCCGGAAGCAGCUGAUCUGAAGGAAAUCAGAGGCUGAUGGGGGGGACGGCGCUACACACUUGAGCUAAUGCGCAGUCGUGGUGGCAGUGGCACGGAUCACAGUAGGAGUCCCAAUGUGUUGGACGCUGGGUGAAGGCCUGGGAGCGAGAUGGGACUCAUGCCCACCCCCAACCCACCUCCCCUGAGCACC